rnacentral:rRNA from 1 species
AUUGAACGCUGGCGGCAUGCCUUACACAUGCAAGUCGAACGGCAGCACGGGAGCUUGCUCCUGGUGGCGAGUGGCGAACGGGUGAGUAAUACAUCGGAACGUACCCUGAAGUGGGGGAUAACGUAGCGAAAGUUACGCUAAUACCGCAUAUUCUGUGAGCAGGAAAGAGGGGGAUCGCAAGACCUCUUGCUUUUAGGAGCGGCCGAUGUCGGAUUAGCUAGUUGGUGAGGUAAAGGCUCACCAAGGCGACGAUCCGUAGCGGGUCUGAGAGGAUGAUCCGCCACACUGGGACUGAGACACGGCCCAGACUCCUACGGGAGGCAGCAGUGGGGAAUUUUGGACAAUGGGCGCAAGCCUGAUCCAGCCAUGCCGCGUGAGUGAAGAAGGCCUGGU